GAGGUUAAGCGACUAAGCGUACACGGUGGAUGCCCUGGCAGUCAGAGGCGAUGAAGGGCGUGCUAAUCUGCGAUAAGCGCCGGUAAGGUGAUAUGAACCGUUAUAACCGGCGAUACCCGAAUGGGGAAACCCAGUGUGAUUCGUCACACUAUCAUUAACUGAAUCCAUAGGUUAAUGAGGCGAACCGGGGGAACUGAAACAUCUAAGUACCCCGAGGAAAAGAAAUCAACCGAGAUUCCCCCAGUAGCGGCGAGCGAACGGGGAGGAGCCCAGAGCCUGAAUCAGCAUGUGUGUUAGUGGAAGCGUCUGGAAAGGCGCGCGAUACAGGGUGACAGCCCCGUACACAAAAGCGCAUGUGCUGUGAGCUCGAUGAGUAGGGCGGGACACGUGGUAUCCUGUCUGAAUAUGGGGGGACCAUCCUCCAAGGCUAAAUACUCCUGACUGACCGAUAGUGAACCAGUACCGUGAGGGAAAGGCGAAAAGAACCCCGGCGAGGGGAGUGAAAAAGAACCUGAAACCGUGUACGUACAAGCAGUGGGAGCACAGGUUUACCUGUGUGACUGCGUACCUUUUGUAUAAUGGGUCAGCGACUUAUAUUCUGUAGCAAGGUUAACCGUAUAGGGGAGCCGGAGGGAAACCGAGUCUUAACCGGGCGUUAAGUUGCAGGGUAUAGACCCGAAACCCGGUGAUCUAGCCAUGGGCAGGUUGAAGGUUGGGUAACACUAACUGGAGGACCGAACCGACUAAUGUUGAAAAAUUAGCGGAUGACCUGUGGCUGGGGGUGAAAGGCCAAUCAAACCGGGAGAUAGCUGGUUCUCCCCGAAAGCUAUUUAGGUAGCGCCUCGUGAAUUCAUCUCCGGGGGUAGAGCACUGUUUCGGCUAGGGGGCCAUCCCGGCUUACCAACCCGAUGCAAACUGCGAAUACCGGAGAAUGUUAUCACGGGAGACACACGGCGGGUGCUAACGUCCGUCGUGAAGAGGGAAACAACCCAGACCGCCAGCUAAGGUCCCAAAGUCAUGGUUAAGUGGGAAACGAUGUGGGAAGGCCCAGACAGCCAGGAUGUUGGCUUAGAAGCAGCCAUCAUUUAAAGAAAGCGUAAUAGCUCACUGGUCGAGUCGGCCUGCGCGGAAGAUGUAACGGGGCUAAACCAUGCACCGAAGCUGCGGCAGCGAACGUAUCACUUAAAGCGAUUCAGCGGGUUACGAUUGACGGAGCGAAGCGACGUCAAAGCGUAUACAAAGUCGAGUCGGUUUAAGGAUACGUUCGUUGGGUAGGGGAGCGUUCUGUAAGCCUGUGAAGGUGUGUCGUGAGGCAUGCUGGAGGUAUCAGAAGUGCGAAUGCUGACAUAAGUAACGAUAAAGCGGGUGAAAAGCCCGCUCGCCGGAAGACCAAGGGUUCCUGUCCAACGUUAAUCGGGGCAGGGUGAGUCGACCCCUAAGGCGAGGCCGAAAGGCGUAGUCGAUGGGAAACGGGUUAAUAUUCCCGUACUUGGUGUUACUGCGAAGGGGGGACGGAGAAGGCUAUGUUGGCCGGGCGACGGUUGUCCCGGUUUAAGCGUGUAGGUGUGUGUUCCAGGUAAAUCCGGUUCACUUUAACACUGAGGCGUGAUGACGAGGCACUACGGUGCUGAAGCAACAAAUGCCCUGCUUCCAGGAAAAGCCUCUAAGCAUCAGGUAACAUCAAAUCGUACCCCAAACCGACACAGGUGGUCAGGUAGAGAAUACCAAGGCGCUUGAGAGAACUCGGGUGAAGGAACUAGGCAAAAUGGUGCCGUAACUUCGGGAGAAGGCACGCUGACACGUAGGUGAAGUGAUUUACUCAUGGAGCUGAAGUCAGUCGAAGAUACCAGCUGGCUGCAACUGUUUAUUAAAAACACAGCACUGUGCAAACACGAAAGUGGACGUAUACGGUGUGACGCCUGCCCGGUGCCGGAAGGUUAAUUGAUGGGGUCAGCGCAAGCGAAGCUCCUGAUCGAAGCCCCGGUAAACGGCGGCCGUAACUAUAACGGUCCUAAGGUAGCGAAAUUCCUUGUCGGGUAAGUUCCGACCUGCACGAAUGGCGUAAUGAUGGCCAGGCUGUCUCCACCCGAGACUCAGUGAAAUUGAACUCGCUGUGAAGAUGCAGUGUACCCGCGGCAAGACGGAAAGACCCCGUGAACCUUUACUAUAGCUUGACACUGAACAUUGAGCCUUGAUGUGUAGGAUAGGUGGGAGGCUUUGAAGCGUGGACGCCAGUCUGCGUGGAGCCGACCUUGAAAUACCACCCUUUAAUGUUU
rnacentral:rRNA from 1 species